ensembl:lncRNA
UAUGGUAGAAUGACUUAUAGUCCUUUGGGUAUCUACCCAGUAAUGAGAUUGCUGGGUUGAAUGGUAAUUCUUUUUUUAGCUCUUAUAGGAAUCACCACACUGUCUUCCACAUGGCUGAACUAUUUACAGUCCCAACAACGGUGUGUUUAUUGAAAUAUAAUUGACAAAAAUUGCUACAAAGGAAAUUAAAUACCUA